GAGGGUAUGGCUCAAAUGGUAGAGUGCAUGCAUGCACAAGGUCCUGGGUUCAAUCCCCAGUACCUCCA
rnacentral:tRNA from 1 species